rnacentral:rRNA from 1 species
GAUGAACGCUGGCGGCGUGCCUAAUACAUGCAAGUCGAGCGAACGGACGAGAAGCUUGCUUCUCUGAUGUUAGCUGCGGACGGGUGAGUAACACGUGGAUAACCUACCUAUAAGACUGGGAUAACUUCGGGAAACCGGAGCUAAUACCGGAUGAUAUUUUGAACCGCAUGGUUCAAAAGUGAAAGACGGUCUUGCUGUCACUUAUAGAUGGAUCCGCGCUGCAUUAGCUAGUUGGUAAGGUAACGACUUACCAAGGCAACGAUGCAUAGCCGACCUGAGAGGGUGUUAGGCCUCACUGGAACUGUGACGCGGUCCAUGCUCCUACGGGAGGCAGCAGUAGUGAAUCUUUCGCAAUGGGCGAAAGCCUGACGGAGUAACACCGCGUGAGUGAUGAAGGUCUUCGGAUCGUAAAACUCUGUUAUUAGGGAAGAACAUAUGUGUAAGUAACUGUUCACCUCUUGACGGUACCUAAUCAGAGAGCCACGGCUAACUACGUG